rnacentral:rRNA from 1 species
AAGCGGUGGAGCAUGUGGUUUAAUUCGAUGAUACGCGAGGAACCUUACCUGGGCUCAAAUGUAUGUUGACGUAUUCUGAAAGGGAUACUUCUUCGGACAAUAUACAAGGUGCUGCAUGGUUGUCGUCAGCUCGUGCCGUGAGGUGUCGGGUUAAGUCCCAUAACGAGCGCAACCCCUAUCAUUAGUUGCCAUCAGGUCAAGCUGGGGACUCUAAUGAAACUGCCUACGCAAGUAGUGAGGAAGGUGGGGAUGACGUCAAAUCAGCACGGCCCUUACGUCCAGGGCUACACACGUGCUACAAUGGCCGGUACAAAGGGCAGCUACCUGGUGACAGGAUGCAAAUCUCCAAAGUCGGUCUCAGUUCGGAUCGGAGUCUGCAACCCGACUCCGUGAAGUUGGAUUCGCUAGUAAUCGCGCAUCAGCCAUGGCGCGGUGAAUACGUUCCCGGGCCUU